rnacentral:lncRNA from 1 species
GUGAGGCGGCAGAGGAAGGGGAGAUUGAAGACGACGGCGCCGCCGAUGUGGCUGCCGUUUGGUGGGGCGGAGCGGCGGGAGACCGCGGCGGCGGAGCUAGAGCCACACGUGCGACGGCUCCCUGGUCAACUUGCGCAGCCGCGAACAAGUAGAGCCACGCCUUCACCGCCGCCUCGCGAUGACGAUGGCGAUGAGUUCGAUCUCCGGCCGCCGCCCCGCCGCAUGCAUGAGCUAGAGGAGGUGCCCGGCGAGUUUCGGCACGUUGGCGAUACCGUCGUGCGAGCGCAGCGGCCGGCGAAGCGGAGGCGGCGUGCGAGCGCGGCGGCCGGCGAAGCGGAGUGGAGCGGUGGCGGCAAGCGGGCGAGCGCGCGGCGGCCGGCGAAGCAGAGUGGAGCGAAGGCGGCCUCGGGUCACGCUCCCGGCCUCCGCCAGCGUUGUCGCCACACGAGCCACGUUCUCGACGCACAGUGCGAAUCCUGCCGAGCCACUUGA